GUCGAACGCUGGCGGCGUGCUUAACACAUGCAAGUCGAACGGAAAGGCCCUGCUUUUGUGGGGUGCUCGAGUGGCGAACGGGUGAGUAACACGUGAGUAACCUGCCCUUGACUUUGGGAUAACUUCAGGAAACUGGGGCUAAUACCGGAUAGGAGCUCCUGCUGCAUGGUGGGGGUUGGAAAGUUUCGGCGGUUGGGGAUGGACUCGCGGCUUAUCAGCUUGUUGGUGGGGUAGUGGCUUACCAAGGCUUUGACGGGUAGCCGGCCUGAGAGGGUGGCCGGCCACAUUGGGACUGAGAUACGGCCCAGACUCCUACGGGAGGCAGCAGUGGGGAAUAUUGCACAAUGGGCGGAAGCCUGAUGCAGCAACGCCGCGUGCGGGAUGACGGCCUUCGGGUUGUAAACCGCUUUCGCCUGUGACGAAGCGUGAGUGACGGUAAUGGGUAAAGAAGCACCGGCUAACUACGUG
rnacentral:rRNA from 1 species